rnacentral:misc_RNA from 1 species
GAUGAAGAACGCAGCGAAAUGCGAUAAGUAAUGCGAAUUGCAGAAUUCAGUGAAUCAUCGAAUCUUUGAACGCACAUUGCGCCCGCUAGUAUUCUGGCGGGCAUGCCUGUCUGAGCGUCAUUUCAACCCUCGCCCCCGGCUUUUGCUGGGAGCGGUGUUGGGGAUCGGCCGCCCGUCACUGGGAGGCCGGCCCCGAAAUAGAGUGGCAACCACGCCGUGUGCUCCUCUGCGUAGUAGUAAAUCACCUCGCAGGCGGACAGCGGUGCGGCCUGCCGUAAAACCCCCAACUCUUUCUGGUUGACCUCAGAUCAGGUAGGAAUACCCGCUGAACUUAAGCAUAUCAAUAAGCGGAGGA